rnacentral:rRNA from 1 species
GGGAUAACUACUGGAAACAGUUGCUAAUACCGAAUAAUAAAUUUUUUCGCAUGAAAAAAUUUUAAAAGAAGCUUGAAUUAUAGGCUUCACUUAAAAAUGGGGGUGCGGAACAUUAGUUAGUUGGUAGGGUAAUGGCCUACCAAGACAAUGAUGUUUAGCCGGGCCGAGAGGCUGUCCGGCCACACUGGGACUGAGAUACGGCCAAGACUCCUACGGGAGGCAGCAGUAGGGAAUUUUCCGCAAUGAGCGAAAGCUUGACGGAGCGACACAGCGUGCAGGAUGAAGGCCUUCGGGUUGUAAACUGCUGUGGUAAGGAAAGAAAAAAUAGAGUAGGAAAUGACUCUUAAUUGACGGUACCUUAUUAGAAAGCGA